CAGUCUGUAGGUGUCUGGAUAAGAACAGUCUGUAGGUGUCUGGAUAAGAACAGUCUGUAGGUGUCUGGAUAAGAACAGUCUGUAGGUGUCUGAACAGUCUGUAGGUGUCUGGAUAAGAACACAGGACAGGUGAUAACCACAUGAACAAUGUCUGGUUCUUUAACAUCAUGCAGGUAGAGGAGUGUAUCACUCUGGUGUUUUCUAGUGCUGUAUCAAACCUAUGUAAAUCACCCUCUCUUUCCCUCUCUCUCUGGUGUCUGUCUGAACAGUCUGUAGGUGUCUGAACAGUCUGUAGGUGUCUGGAUAAGAACACAGGACAGGUGAUAACCACAUGAACAAUGUCUGGUUCUUUAACAUCAUGCAGGUAGAGGAGUGUAUCACUCUGGUGUUUUCUAGUGCUGUAUCAAACCUAUGUAAAUCACCCUCUCUCUCCCUCUCUCUCUGGUGUCUGUCUGAACAGUCUGUAGGUGUCUGAACAGUCUGUAGGUGUCUGGAUAAGAACACAGGACAGGUGAUAACCACAUGAACAAUGUCUGGUUCUUUAACAUCAUGCAGGUAGAGGAGUGUAUCACUCUGGUGUUUUCUAGUGCUGUAUCAAACCUAUGUAAAUCACCCUCUCUCUCCCUCUCUCUCUGGUGUCUGUCUGAACAGUCUGUAGGUGUCUGGAUAAGAACAGUCUGUAGGUGUCUGAACAGACUGUAGGUGUCUGGAUAAGAACACAGGACAGGUGAUAACCACAUGAACAAUGUCUGGUUCUUUAACAUCAUGCAGGUAGAGGAGUGUAUCACUCUGGUGUUUUCUAGUGCUGUAUCAAACCUAUGUAAAUCACCCUCUCUCUCCCUCUCUCUGGUGUCUGUCUGAACAGUCUGUAG